rnacentral:rRNA from 1 species
AGCCAGUAUUAGAGGCACUGCCUGCCCAGUGACUUAAUCGUUAAACGGCCGCGGUAUCUUGACCGUGCAAAGGUAGCAUAAUCACUUGUUCUCUAAAUAAGGACUUGUAUGAAUGGCCACACGAGGGUUUUACUGUCUCUUACUUUUAAUCAGUGAAAUUGACCUCCCCGUGAAGAGGCGGGGAUAAUAAAAUAAGACGAGAAGACCCUAUGGAGCUUUAAUUAAUCAACUCAAAAAAAUCGUAAAACAGUACCACUAAGGGAUAACAAAAUUUUAUAUGGGUUGACAAUUUCGGUUGGGGUGACCUCGGAGUAUAAAAAACCCUCCGAGUGAUUAAAACCUAGGCCUACUAGCCAAAGUGUAGCAUCACUUAUUGAUCCAAAUUUUUGAUCAACGGAACAAGUUACCCUAGGGAUAACAGCGCAAUCCUAUUCUAGAGUCCGUAUCGACAAUAGGGUUUACGACCUCGAUGUUGGAUCAGGACAUCCUGAUGGUGCAGCNGCUAUCAAGGGUUCGUUUGUU